rnacentral:rRNA from 1 species
GAUGAACGCUGGCGGCGUGCCUAACACAUGCAAGUCGAACGGGGUUACACGAGUAGCAAUACUUGUGCAACCUAGUGGCGGACGGGUGAGUAACGCGUGAGCAACCUACCUUCCAGAGGGGGAUAACACAGGGAAACCUGUGCUAAUACCGCAUAAAGUACAGUGGGGGCAUCCCUGCAGUACCAAAGGAGCAAUCCGCUGGGAGAUGGGCUCGCGUCCGAUUAGGUAGUUGGUGGGGUAACGGCUCACCAAGCCGACGAUCGGUAGCCGGACUGAGAGGUUGGCCGGCCACAUUGGGACUGAGACACGGCCCAGACUCCUACGGGAGGCAGCAGUGGGGAAUAUUGCGCAAUGGACGAAAGUCUGACGCAGCGACGCCGCGUGAGCGACGAAGGCCUUCGGGUCGUAAAGCUCUGUUCUUGGGGACGAAGUAUGACGGUACCCAAGGAGAAAGCCCCGGUAACUACGUGCCAGCAGCCGCGGUAAACUAGGUACUCUAAU